CGGGACGGGUGAGUAACGCGUGGGUAACCUGCCUCAUACAGGGGGAUAACGGUUAGAAAUGACUGCUAAUACCGCAUAAGCGCACAGUACCGCAUGGUACGGUGUGAAAAACUCCGGUGGUAUGAGAUGGACCCGCGUCUGAUUAGCUAGUUGGUGGGGUAACAGCCCACCAAGGCGACGAUCAGUAGCCGACCUGAGAGGGUGACCGGCCACAUUGGGACUGAGACACGGCCCAG
rnacentral:rRNA from 1 species